rnacentral:rRNA from 1 species
UACGUAGGGUGCUAGCGUUGUUCGGAAUCAUUGGGCGUAAAGCGCGUGUAGGCGGUUUGUUAAGUCGGAUGUGAAAUCCCUGGGCUCAACCGAGGAAGUGCAUUCGAAACUAACUGGCUAGAAGAUGGUAGAGGAAGGUGGAAUUCCAAGUGUAGAGGUGAAAUUCGUAGAUAUCUGGAGGAACACCGGUGGCGAAGGCGAAUCCCUGGAAAAUACCUGACACUGAGGCACGAAAGCUAGGGGAGCAAACAGGAUUAGGAAAGCCCU